rnacentral:snRNA from 1 species
AAAUUACCGAGUUAAAGCGAUA